rnacentral:tRNA from 1 species
GUCUCAUUAGCGUAGUGGUUAACGCACGGUCCCGCGAGAGCGCGAGACGCGGGUUCGAAUAAGCGCGAGACGCGGGUUCGAAUCCCGCCUGAGAUG